rnacentral:rRNA from 1 species
CCUUCGGGGGGGGGGCAGUAGGGAAUCUUCCACAAUGGACGAAAGUCUGAUGGAGCAAUGCCGCGUGAGUGAAGAAGGUUUUCGGAUCGUAAAGCUCUGUUGCGAGGGAAGAACAUGUACGGGAGUAACUGCCCGUACCUUGACGGUACCUCGUCAGAAAGCCACGGCUAACUACGUGCCAGCAGCCGCGGUAAUACGUAGGUGGCAAGCGUUGUCCGGAAUUAUUGGGCGUAAAGCGCGCGCAGGCGGUCCUUUAAGUCUGAUGUGAAAGCCCACGGCUCAACCGUGGAGGGUCAUUGGAAACUGGGGGACUUGAGUACAGAAGAGGAAAGCGGAAUUCCACGUGUAGCGGUGAAAUUCUAGAGAUGUGGAGGAACACCAGUGGCGAAGGCGGCUUUCUGGUCUGUAACUGACGGCGAGCCCGAAAGAAC